GAUGAACGCUGGCGGCGUGCCUAAUACAUGCAAGUCGAGCGAACGGACGCGAAGCUUGCUUCUCUGUUGUUAGCGGCGGACGGGUGUGUAACACGUGGAACCUCUCCCUAUAAUACUGGGAUCACUUCGGGACACCGGCGCUUAUCCCGGAUAAUCUUCUGCACCGCAUGGUUCAUAAGUGAAAGACGGUCUUGCUGUCACUUAUCGCUGGUUCCGCGCUGCAUUAGCUAGUUGGUAAGUUAACGGCUUUUCAAGGCUACGAUGCCUAGCCGACCUGAGAGAGGGAUCGGCCACACUGGAACGGAGCCACGGUCCAGACGCCUACGGGACGCAGCAGUAGGGAAUCUGCCGCAGUAGUCGAAAGCCUUACAGAGCAACGCCACGUGAGAGAUGAAGGUGUUGGGAUCGGGAAACUCGGUUAUGAGGUGUGAACAGAUGUCUAAGGAACUGUACACAGCGUGACGGUAAUGAAUCAAAAAGCCACGGCUAACUACGUG
rnacentral:rRNA from 1 species